GAUGAACGCUGGCGGCGUGCCUAAUACAUGCAAGUCGAGCGAACAGACGAGGAGCUUGCUCCUCUGACGUUAGCGGCGGACGGGUGAGUAACACGUGGAUAACCUACCUAUAAGACUGGGAUAACUUCGGGAAACCGGAGCUAAUCCCGGAUAAUAUAUUGAACCGCAUGGUUCAAUAGUGAAAGACGGUUUUGCUGUCACUUAUAGAUGGAUCCGCGCCGCAUUAGGUAGUUGGUAAGGUAACGGCUUACCAUGGCGACGAUGCGUAGCCGACCUGGGAGGGUAGGCGGCCACACUGCAACGGAGACACGGUCCAGACUCCAACGAGAGGCAGCAGAAGGGAAUCUUCCGCAAUGGGCGAAAGCAUGACGGAACAACGCCGCGUGAGUGAUGAAGGUCUUCGGAUCGUAAAACUCUGUUAUUAGGGAAGAACAAAUGUGUAAGUAACUAUGCACGUCUUGACGGUACCUAAUCAGAAAGCCACGGCUAACUACGUG
rnacentral:rRNA from 1 species